CGAUAUUUUCUGGCCAUAAGUGAAUACCCCGAGUAGACAGAUAGGAACAAUGAUCAGAAGUAGGAGAAAGAGUAUCUUUGGCGGUGUUCGUCUAGGCGUGGGGCGGUAGGGUCGUGCGGCCAUUCUUUGUAGGAUCAUGGUAAGAAUCUGAUCAGAAGUAGGAGAAAGAGUAUCUUUGGCGGUGUUCGUCUAGGCGUGGGGCGGUAGGGUCGUGCGGCCAUUCUUUGUAGGAUCAUGGUAAGAAUCUAACAGUAACAUCUUCAGUACGAUCAAUUAAAAUACUUGAGCAGUGCGGGAGCCUGGGGAAUGGGACGAGUAAACUCCCCUGGGCCAGAAAA
rnacentral:lncRNA from 1 species